rnacentral:misc_RNA from 1 species
GUGAAUCAUCAAAUCUUUGAACGCAUAUUGCACUCUCUGGUAUUCCGGAGAGAAUGCCUGUUUGAGGGUAAUUAAAAAGAACCAUUAACCAAUUUUUUUUGGUCAAAGGAAAUGAGUUCGUCGCGUUUGUAUCAGUAGCUUAAAAUAAAUGGUUAAGUCUAAUUUUAGUUGAGAAGCGUACUAAUAUUAUUUCGCGAAAUCUUCAUUAUGUGACUAUUAAGUUUUGAUGAAUACAAA